CCUGCAAGAACCCUGCCUGAUAGAUGACCCCUUGCCGCUGCCACCUGUCGGCUGUCCAGAGUCACGCACCCGGUAGAUGGCACCUCAGACAAGUUCCCCCUGUCAUCCCUGGUCCCACGCUUACAGAGUAGAGGGGGGACCCAUCCCUGCCAGGCGUGGUGGCCAGAGCAGGCUUCUUGGAGACAGUGGGCCAGAAGGGAGCCAUGCCCUGUCUCAUCACCUCAUCCUCUGAAGGCUGGCAUCUGUUCUCUGCCUUCGUGUCUCCACCAAGCACACAGGGCAUUUGGCGUCUCCUGCUCACCUUUAUAAAACCCAAGAGUCAGGGAGAGAUGCCGAAGAUGAUGACCUUCAAAUAGCAAGACGGACCCACUGCCCAGAUGACCCUAUGGCUGAGUUUUAAAAGAUGAGUAGAGGAAAAAAUUAAUUAAAAAGACCAGUGGGGCCCAGCUAAAAAAGGGAGGUGGCAAACUACAGAGAAGUCUAACAUCACCAUGACUGUAGGAAGCUAUAAGCGGUUCCGUAUUACCAGAGUCGAAGGAGCAAGCCAGGAGAAGCCAGUGAUGAAGCCAGAGAGGGCCCUGCAUCCUCCAUGUGCCCCCAUACAGGGACCACUCCUCUGGCACGUGAUCUGCCAGCUCAUCCUCGGCUCCGGGACGUGAGACACACAGUGCAGAGUGAUGGUCCUGAUCACAGGGGCCAUGCUUUCCUCCCUACUUCUCAGGAGCCGCCACACCACAUGCAGCAUCCGGCACACGGAGGGCCCACCCCAGACAUGAACUCACUUCGCAGCAACUGCCGAAAUGUACUCUAAGAGUUCCAUGUAGCUAGUCCAUGUGUGUGCCGCACUCCCCCCAUCCCCCUACCAGGCUCGGAUCUGGGCGGGCACUGGGAAUUGAGCAAGGAUGACAACAGUGCCCCCAGCCAGACCCUUCCAAGGCAGGCAGGAACACGUCAUCUCGGCCAGCAAACUGAAACACAGCACGGGCGGCCAGGUCCCAGGCAGUGGAGGCAGAGAGCAGAAGCUGCUUGAAGGCCUGGCUUUUCCUGCCUUUUGUCCCAGCCCAAGCUCAAAGCCUCCCCCCAGAACCCCAAAGCGGCAGAACGAAGCCCAACGAAACCACAGUUACCCUCGCAGUUCAAUGAAUGAAGACACAGCAGACAGUUACAUAAUCUUGAUGGGAGCUGGAGCAUAACUGAGAACGACUUCUUGGAAGCUUGAAUCAGCCGCGGGAGGAGUAUUUACACUUUGGGAACCGGCUAAGGUCCCAGCAGAAGCCCCUUAGCUGUGUGUUUUGCGGAUCCCGCUUGGUCACAUGCUCACCCUGGACCAAUCAUAGUGACCAGGAAGAAGAAACCGCUGCUGGGCCCUGGCGGGAUCCGAAUCGAUGGCUCAAGCAAAGAAGAGCCAGCCAUGUGCCUGCUUCUGAGCUGGGAAGGUGAGGAGGGUUGGGUGCCCCCACCCCCCAGGGUCACACUCAUCCUGGUUGGCCCAGACUUCUGGUUUAUGCCGGUCAUCCAGUGUAAUUUCUAACUGCACCUCCUUUCCCUUUUGAAGGGGUCCGGAAGGCAGAUGCUGGAGUCCCUGUAAGACCAGAGCAUAGGAGGGUGGAGGAGAUCUCCAGGAAGUGCCUCUGCUGGAGUUUUCCAAGGUCUCUUCAGGUGCCCAACCAGGCAGAAGGGCUUGGGGCUGGGAUUGAAUUCCCUCCACUGUGUGCUAAGAGCCUGGUUGAGGCUGAUGUAUGCUGCCCCAAGGCGUUGGGACACAGCCUGGCAAUAUCUGUCCCAGACAGCGGGGGACCAGGCCAUACCUUCCUCAAGCCUCGCCUUCCUCAAGCCUCAUCCCUGAUGCUGAGGCGCACAGCACCAGCCCACAGGCUGUGGUGGACGUCUCAGGCCAGCACAAGGUAGGGUGCAGAAGAUGGUCAGUGGCAUAAAUAUGGGGGUGGCAAGUGGCAGAAUCCAUGACUUUGUUGGAGACAUCAGAAAAGUCUUUGGAGGAAGCUGUGCAGGAGCAGUGAGCAGCAGAGACACCUGGGACCAUCUUUGGCAGUAUUUUCCAACAGUACAUUGCCACCCAUGAAUGGGAGAACCAGCCUUUUGGCGGGCGGGGAGUUGGGGGGAAGGAAAAAGAACACAAAACAGAGGGCGCCUGGGUAGCUCAGUUGGUUGGAUGUCCAACUUCGGC